GGGUUAAGAUAAACACCGUUAUAGCACUGAGUCACAAUCUUGCACACAGCAAAAUAUGCAGAUGCAGCUGUAGAUCCUCCAUUUUUAUCUCAUGAUACAGGAGACACGAUUAGCCCACUAAUACAAAAGAAACAGUAAUUCAGAUCUUAUGAGGUGAAGCGUAAGAAUCCACAAGAAGAGGGACUGGAAAGGCACUUUACUCAAAGAAGCACUGAAUCUGGCUAUUUUCUAUACUGUAGGACCCUCCAGAUAAAGGAAAGAGAAAGAUGCCUCUGAAGACUUUCAGUGCAAAAGCCUGCUUUUC
rnacentral:lncRNA from 1 species